GACGAACGCUGGCGGCGUGCCUAAUACAUGCAAGUCGAACGAAACUUUCUUACACCGAAUGCUUGCAUUCACCGUAAGAAGUUGAGUGGCGGACGGGUGAGUAACACGUGGGUAACCUGCCGAAAAGAAGGGGAUAACACUUGGAAACAGGUGCUAAUACCGUAUAUCUCUAAGGAUCGCAUGAUCCUUAGAUGAAAGAUGGUUUUGCUAUCGCUUUUAGAUGGACCCGCGGCGUAUUAACUAGUUGGUGGGGUAACGGCCUACCAAGGUGAUGAUACGUAGCCGAACUGAGAGGUUGAUCGGCCACAUUGUGACUGCGACACGGCCCAACCUCCUACGGGAGGCAGCAGUAGGGAAUCUUCCACAAUUGACGCAAGUCUGAGGGAGCAACGCCGCGUGAGUGAAGAAGGGCUUCGGAUCGUAAAACUCGGUUGUUAGAGAAGAACACGAGUGAGAGUAACUGUUCAUUCGAUGACGGUAUCUAACCAGCGAGUCACGGCUAACUACGUGCCAGCCGCCGCAGUAA
rnacentral:rRNA from 1 species